GAUGAAGAACGUAGCGAAAUGCGAUAAGUAAUGUGAAUUGCAGAAUUCAGUGAAUCAUCGAAUCUUUGAACGCACCUUGCGCCCUCUGGCCAUUCCGAAGGGCAUGCCUGUUUGAGUAUCAUGAACACCUCAACUCUUUAUGGUUUUCCAUGAUGAGCUUGGACUCUGGGGGUUUUGCUGGCUCACAGUCGGCUCCUCUAAAAUGAAUCAGCUUACCAGUGUUUGGUGGGUAUCAUGGGUGUGAUAACUAUCUACGCUUGUGGUUUUUCCACCAGGUAACCUUCAGCAGUGGAGGUUCGCUGGAGCUCAUAGAUGUCUCUCCUCAGUGAGGACAGCCCUUUGAAUGUUUGAUCUCAAAUCAGGUAGGACUACCCGCUGAACUUAAGCAUAUCAAUAAGCGGAGGA
rnacentral:misc_RNA from 1 species